rnacentral:piRNA from 1 species
UUGCCUUUGAUAAGGAAAGUGGUGGG